rnacentral:rRNA from 1 species
CCUACGGGUGGCUGCAGUGGGGAAUAUUGCACAAUGGGGGGAACCCUGAUGCAGCGACGCCGCGUGCGUGAAGAAGUAUUUCGGUGUGUAAAGCUCUAUCAGCAGGGAAGAAGAUGACGUUACGUGACUAAGAAGCCCCGGCUAACUACGUGCCAGCAGCCGCGGUAAUACGGAGGGGGCAAGCGUUAUCCGGAUUUACUGGGUGUAAAGGGAGCGUAGACGGCAGGGCAAGUCUGGAGUGAAAGGCCGGGGCCCAACCCCGGGACUGCUGUGGAAACUGGCAUGCUAGAGUGCUGGGGAGGUAAGCGGAAUUCGUAGUGUAGCGGUGAAAUGCGUAGAUAUUAGGAGGAACACCAGUGGCGAAGGCGGCUUACUGGAGAGUAACUGACGUUGAGGCUCGAAAGCGUGGGGAGCAAACAGGAUUAGAUACCCCAGUAGUC